rnacentral:miRNA from 1 species
CUUCUGCACGACUUCUCUGAACAAUGUCCUCAUACUUGGCCUUGACCUCGGCAAUGAUGCUGUCCAAGUCCAGGCUACGGUUGUUGUCCAUGGAGAGGACCACAGUUGUGUCUGAG